ACCUGAUCAAACAGUGGAGGGACACUUUCUGAGAAGCUUCCUGUGAUAACGGCCACCACAGCAGAGGAGACACUCAGGGUUAAAAGACCAGAAGGAAGCAGCAGCUGUUCAGAUCUGAUCGGCCUUCCUGGAGAGAUGGUCCUGUUCUUACUCCUGGCGGUCCUUCUGUUCCCCACUGGGGAGGCAGGGAAAAUCAUCGGGGGGCAUGAGGCCAAGCCACACUCCCAUCCCUACAUGGCAUUUGUUGAAUACCAGGAUUCAGAAGACAUUUUCAGCUGUGUGGGUUUCCUCGUGCAUAAGGACUUUGUGCUGACAACAGCUCACUGCUUGGGAAGAUGAGGAGCAGUGCCUGGGCCCCACCUUCUGUUGACCCCUUAGGAGACGUAGGAAGCUCUUCAAAGUCCAGGUGAGCGUUGGGGAGAGAGGGCCAAGUGCAUGCCAGUGGCACAUGAGGAGAAGCAACUGAUCAGACCUGGAAUGGAAGGAAGCCAAGGUUGUGCCCUGGACCCUAGAGUACACGUGUGAGAAAUUCACAUUUCCCUCUGUGACUGUCAAGCUUCUGCAUGACUGAACACACUCAUGGACUCCAGGAGGUCCUCCCUGCCUGGGCUGCCAGAGACAGACUGCUCAGAGAUGCUCAGCACCAGGCCCAUCGCCUAGAAUUCUCUCCCAUCCAGUCCCACCCUGUCCCAAGCAGUGAUCUUUCCUCCCAGCCUCUGGCCUGUAUCUCCUGUGACACCUGCUCCCUCUGCUCUCUGUGCAGCUCAAUCAAUGUCACCUGGGGGCCCACAACAGCAUGGAACAGAGAGGAUCCAGCAGGUCAUCCCUGUGACAGGAGCCAUCCGCCACCCAGACUGUAAUGCUAAUGACGGCUAACUUGACAGAUGCAAUGAGCCCCAUCAAUCUGCCCAGAAGCUGGUGAAGGUGAAGCCAGGUAUAAUGUGCAGUGUGACCAGCUGGGGGCAACCUGGGGUAGAUAUUCCCUGUGCAGACAAACAACAGGAGGUAGAUCUUAAAGUUCAAAGGGAGGAGAAAUGUAUCACUUGCUAUGCUGCAGAUCCAAACAAGAGGAAGAAUUCUUUCUUGGUGAGAUCCCCAGUGUUUUCCAUGCAAAACCUUGGGUAAGCUGAGCUGGAGGAUGAGGGGCAGUGGGAAUGAACCCCAUCCCUGUGUCCCCAAACUGUCCUAUCUGGUCUCUGUCCUGUGUCCCUGGGGGGUGAACAAUGCUCCAAAGUCAUAUAUGGGCAGGGGUUUCUUGUGUGAGGAGCAGCAAGAUUGUCAAUGCCUUGAUGAAACCUCAGGACCAACAAGGCCCUGAUGUCAGCCCAGGCCCCUAACAGAGACCAGCCUGGGCAUUAGUGGGGAGAAUAACUGAAGAAGGUGGGCUCAGCCCUUGCUCUCUCUGCCCACAGGGUGAGUCUGGGGGCCCGCUCGUGUGUAAUGGUGUGGCCCAGGGCAUUGUGUCCUGUGGAGAAGGGUAUUGGAGGACUCCAAAUGUCUACACCAGAAUCUCCUGCUUUCUGUCCUGGAUCCAAACAACAGUGAGACAGUACAAAUGGCAGGGAUCAGCCUGAGGUGCCCCUGGGAUGGACCCUCCAUCUUCCCUGGAAUGGGUACACUGGGGAAAGUGGGUGAAGGAGGGCUGCCUGGAAUUUAAUAAACUUUCAUCUCUUGAGCAGAAAUCACGGAUUCCUCUUUUAUUUACCUAAACACAUUUGUUAGGUAUGUAUUCUGUCAGGCAACCAUCUAGUCACAUCUGAUCUUCCCCCUCCAGCACAUACACCGCACCCCACCCCCACCUUCCAACUCUGAAAUAAAAACUCCUGCUGUACCGACAGCCAGCUCCCUCCAGUCACAUGUCCCCAGAGCUAGUCCCCCUGCA